AUUGAACGCUGGCGGCAUGCCUUACACAUGCAAGUCGAACGGCAGCACGGGUGCUUGCACCUGGUGGCGAGUGGCGAACGGGUGAGUAAUACAUCGGAACAUGUCCUGUAGUGGGGGAUAGCCCGGCGAAAGCCGGAUUAAUACCGCAUACGAUCUACGGAUGAAAGCGGGGGACCUUCGGGCCUCGCGCUAUAGGCUUGGCCGCUGCCUGAUUAGCUAGUUGUGGGGUUAAAGGCCUACCAAGGCGACGAUCAGUAGCUGGUCUGAGAGGACGACCAGCCAAACUGGGACUGAGACACGGCCCAGACUCCUACGGGAGGCAGCAGUGGGGAAUUUUGGACAAUGGGCGAAAGCCUGAUCCAGCAAUGCCGCGUGUGUGAAGAAGGCCUUCGGGUUGUAAAGCACUUUUGUCCGGAAAGAAAUCCUUGGCCCUAAUACGGUCGGGGGAUGACGGUACCGGAAGAAUAAGCACCGGCUAACUACGUG
rnacentral:rRNA from 1 species